GCUAGUGUGGUGUACUGGAGAGAGUGUGGGACUGGGGAUCUCAGAGACCCAGGUUUGAAUCCUGGCUCUGUCAUAGAAGCU
rnacentral:tRNA from 1 species